rnacentral:rRNA from 1 species
CCUACGGGGGGCAGCAGUGAGGAAUAUUGGUCAAUGGGCGCGAGCCUGAACCAGCCAAGUAGCGUGAAGGAUGACGGCCCUACGGGUUGUAAACUUCUUUUAUAAAGGAAUAAAGUGAGGCACGUGUGCCUUGUUGUAUGUACUUUAUGAAUAAGGAUCGGCUAACUCCGUGCCAGCAGCCGCGGUAAUACGGAGGAUCCGAGCGUUAUCCGGAUUUAUUGGGGUUAAAGGGAGCGUAGAUGGGUUGUUAAGUCCGUUGUGAAAGUUUGCGGCUCAACCGUAAAAUUGCACUUGAUACUGGCAGCCUUUAGUACAGUUGAGGUAGGCGGACUUCGUGUUGUCGCGG